UGACGCUAGCGGCAGGCUUAAUACAUGCAAGUCGAGGGGCAGCAUGAAGUAGCAAUACUUUGAUGGCGACCGGCAAACGGGUGCGGAACACGUACACAACCUUCCUUUUAGUGGGGAAUAGCCCAGAGAAAUUUGGAUUAAUACCCCGUAACAUAACUGAGUGGCAUCACUCGGUUAUUAUAGCUUCGGCGCUAAAUGAUGGGUGUGCGUAUGAUUAGAUAGUUGGCGAGGUAACGGCUCACCAAGUCUACGAUCAUUAGCUGAUGUGAGAGCAUGAUCAGCCACACGGGCACUGAGACACGGGCCCGACUCCUACGGGAGGCAGCAGUAAGGAAUAUUGGUCAAUGGACGCAAGUCUGAACCAGCCAUGCCGCGUGAAGGAUUAAGGUCCUCUGGAUUGUAAACUUCUUUUAUCUGGGACGAAAAAAGGUCUUUCUAGACCCCUUGACGGUACCAGAUGAAUAA
rnacentral:rRNA from 1 species